AUGUACAAAGGUGCCUGUAUUUUUACAGGAGAAUAGGAAAGCUGAGUGAAAGUCUCACACGGUCACGCCGCUGUAAUGGAGGAGCUGUAUUUUAUUGAUGUCACUGGAAAAUCUGGGAAGGCAAAAUGCAGUGCUGAUACCUGAGUCAGAAGACCUGCCUUGUACA
rnacentral:ncRNA from 1 species